rnacentral:tRNA from 1 species
GAAAUGUGGCUCAGUGGUAGAGCACUUGCCUGACAUGCAUGAGACAUUGGGUUCAAUCCCUAGCAACA